CUCGUCUUCUGGCUCCUUCUCGAAAAGCCGAAAUCCAGUCUGGAACCAAGGAUAGGUCCUUCUGAUCACCACUUGCCACUGAGCAGCCGACCUCUUGGUACAGUGCCUGAAGAACAUCAAAUAUUCCUCAAGAGAGCGCUUGGGCACUUCUGCCAACAUCAGGGGAAGGGCCAGAACUUGGUCUUCAGGCAGAACUAUGUCUGGAAAUCUUAACUCAGGGAAAUAUACCUGCAGCCAAAUCUGGAUCAUCCAGAAUGCACCAGGAGCAGACAGGUUCAAUGGAUUCUCAAGGGUGGCGGUGUAUAGAUUCUUGAAAAGAUGAGCCAGAACUGUUGGUCCAAGCCCCACAUCAGUAUGAUUAUGAAGCGCUUCCACCAGAUGCCUGUACUCAAGCAGAACUGCUGAAGACCGAUUGGGGAAGACAAAACGAUUCAGCCAAUAUAGAAGGAACAACAUAUGUUGCUGGUCCUUGUCCUUCUCAGUACUGAACCUCUUCAAAUAAUUGGAAAAGGAGCAGUUCUGGUUGAUCGUGGCUGGAGAGACAGUAAAAGGAAUAGCCACUUUCUCCUGAUUCUUUCGCCUGUGAUAAUCUCCAACAGCAUCAACAGGUCUGCCAUGGG
rnacentral:lncRNA from 1 species